rnacentral:tRNA from 1 species
GGCUUUAUAUUCAUUUAAUGAUAAUAGAAUGCAAUUCUGUAGGGGUAGUAGAACUACUAAGGCUU